UACGGGGGGGAGCAAGCGUUAUUCGGAUUUACUGGGCGUAAAGGGCGCGUAGGCGGUCAGCACAAGUCAGUUGUGAAAUCUCCGGGCUUAACUCGGAAAGGUCAACUGAUACUGUGCGACUAGAGUGCAGAAGGGGCAACUGGAAUUCUCGGUGUAGCGGUGAAAUGCGUAGAUAUCGAGAGGAACACCUGCGGCGAAGGCGGGUGCUGGCUGACACGUGACGCUGGAGGCGCGAAGCCAGGGAGCGAACGGG
rnacentral:rRNA from 1 species